rnacentral:rRNA from 1 species
UACAGAGGUCUCAAGCGUUGUUCGGAUUCAUUGGGCGUAAAGGGUGCGUAGGCGGCGCGGUAAGUCGGGUGUGAAAUCUCGGAGCUUAACUCCGAAACUGCAUUCGAUACUGCCGUGCUUGAGGACUGGAGAGGAGACUGGAAUUUACGGUGUAGCGGUGAAAUGCGUAGAUAUCGUAAGGAAGACCAGUGGCGAAGGCGGGUCUCUGGACAGUUCCUGACGCUGAGGCACGAAGGCCAGGGGAGCGAACAGG